rnacentral:rRNA from 1 species
GGCGAUCAGAUACCGCCCUAGUUCUGACCGUAAACGAUGCCAACUAGCGAUCCGCCAGUCGACUCAUCGCUCUGGUGGGGAGCUUCCCGGAAACGAAAGUCUUCCGGUUCCGGGGGAAGUAUGGUUGCAAAGCUGAAACUUAAAGGAAUUGACGGAAGGGCACCACCAGGAGUGGACCUGCGGCUUAUUUGCUUGACUCAACACGGGGGGGAAACUCACCCGGCCCGGACACCGUAAGGAUUGACAGAUUGAUAGCUUUUUCAUGAAUUCCGGAGGUGGGGGGGGGGGUGGCCUUUUUCUUGUUCGCGAGGAGCGAUUUGUCUGGUUUAUUCCGAUAACGAGCGAGACUCUGGCCUACUAAAUAGUUGACGCAUUGCCACUGUGCGCACAACUUCUUAGAGGGAUUUUCGGUGUUUUCAACCGCACGAAAUUGAGCAAUAACAGGUCUGUAAUGCCCUUAGAUGUCCGGGGCUGCACGCGCGCUACACUGGCAAACGCAACGUGCCUGUCCUGCCCCGAAAGGAGCGGGUAAACCCCUGAAAUUUUGCCGUGAUUGGGAUCGGACAUUGCAACUAUUGUCCGUGAACGAGGAAUUCCUUGUACGGGCGAGUCAUCAACUCGUCCCGAAUACGUCCCUGCCCUUUGUA